GUGACGUGUGCCGAACGGCUUAGGCGCCUCCCUGUGAAGGAGGUUUUAGCGGGUUCAACUCCCGUACGUCACC
rnacentral:tRNA from 1 species